GCCCCGGGCGGGCCCCCGCCGGGGGGCACCUCGGCGGGGGACAUGGAGCGCUACUACCGCCUGCUCCGCGCCGCCGCGCUGCUGGAGGCCGCCGCCGAAACUGCAAUACCCAUCUGUGCAAAGGACAUCAGUGAUGAUCUGAUGAAGGAGUUUGCUUUUCUGUCUGGUGGAAGGGGGAAGGACAAGGCUUGGAUUAUCACCCUCCCCGACAACGCUGGCUUCAACGAGGUGCCCGAGGAGAGCGUGUCUAAAGUGCUGACGUACCUGACGUCAGUCCCGAGUCAGCAUGAGUCUGACACUAAAUUUAUCCUGAUCCUGGAUAGAAGACUGGACACAUGGACAUCAGUCAAAACGACUCUCCAAAAAAUAGCAGCGUCCUUCCCAGGCAAUCUGCACUUGGUGAUGGUUCUGCGUCCCACGGGGUUUUUCCAGCGCACCUUCACUGACAUUGGCUUUCGCUUCAGCCAGGAGGAUUUCCUGCUCAAGUUACCGGUGGUGAUGCUCAGCUCCGUCAGUGACCUGCUGACCUACAUCGAUGAGCAGCAGCUGACCCCGGAGCUCGGGGGCACCCUGGAGUACUGCCACAGCGAGUGGGUCAUCUUCAGGACGGCCAUCGAGAGCUUUGCCCUGACUGUGAAGGAGAUUGCCCAGAUGUUGCAGUGCUUUGGCACGGAGCUGGCGGAGGCGGAGCUGCCGGAGGACAUGUACUCCAUCGAGCGCAUCCUGGCGCUGCGCACCGAGAGGUACUGCCAGCUCAAGGAAGAUAUUACAGCAGUCACAAAGGAGGGAAACCUGCUUUUGAGCAGUUUUGAAGAGCCAGACUCAGGGGAAUGCAGUCAGGACCAGCAGCAAGAGAGGCCUGGGGACUGGGAGACAGUGAAUCGGUUGCUUGGUCAGCUGCGUGAGAUGGAGACUGCUUUUGAUGGCUUCUGGGAAAAGCACCAGUUAAAAAUGGAACAAUAUUUACAACUGUGGAAGUUUGAGCAAAGUUUUCAAGAGGUCAAGAAUGCCAUUGAAUUUUUAAUGGGUCAGCAAGCGGAGCUGCCCGACACGGGCGACAGCGUCCCCCAGGUGAAACAGAGGCUCAAGGACUUGGAUCAUUUCGAUGGCAUGGCUCAGGACCUGAUAGGGAAGGCCCAGGUGGUGAUACUGCACGGGCACCAGCUGGCAGCCAACCAUCACUACGCCCUCAACCUGAUCUGCCAGCAGUGCAACGAGCUGCGGCACCACUCCGACCUCCUGGCUGAGGACAUCAAGAGGAAGCAGGUGCGCCUGCAGAAGACCUUGGACCUCCACACCCGCCUUCAGCAGGCUCUGCAGUGCUGUGAUGAAGGUGCCUACCUGCUCGCCAACCAGCAGAUGGACAAGUGCCAGUCUAAAGAAGGCGCUCAGAAAGCACUCCAGGACAUUGAAAGAUUUCUUGAAAGCUCUUCAUCCUACUUAAACUAUGAUCCCCAAGCCCUGCACUGCGAUUUUGAGUCAGUCUUAACGUCUGAGCUGAAGUGCCAGAUCCAGUCGGUGCAGGUGAAGCUGGACAACGUCCGCAGCAUGUUUGAGAACAGGCAGUCCUGCUUCAAGAAGCUGCUGGACAAACACGUGCGGCCCGUCCAGCUGGUGGCUCCUCGGCCAGAAAACCCUCCCCGGGCAAAGUCACCCUUAUUCUCUCCUAAACAUGGUGUAGAUUUUAAUUCCAGUUUGAAAUUUUCAUUUGAUCUCUCUCUUCCUGGGAAGAAAACUUCAAGAAAAACUCCAAGUUCUCGCAAGAUCGAAGUCAUGCACGACUACCAGGAGAAGAGGAAUUCCCUGCAGUACUUUAUUUCAGACAGUGACGACAGCUUGGAUAUUCUGAAGGGCCAUGUCAUCAAUGAGCUUAUAGAAACAGAGAGAGUGUAUGUGGAGGAGCUCUUCACUGUUCUGACGGGCUACAGGGCUGAGAUGGAUAAUCCUGCCAUGCUCAUCCUCCUGCCCCCCGUGCUGAGGAACAGGAAGGACGUUCUCUUCGGAAACAUGCCCGAGAUCUAUGACUUCCACAACAAAAUUUUCCUGCACAGUCUGGAAAACUGCCUGGGAGCACCCGAGAGAGUGGGAUGUUGUUUCCUGGACAGGCGGGAGGAUUUCCAGAUGUAUGAGAAGUACUGCCAGAACAAGCCCCGCUCCGAGUCCCUGUGGAGGCAGUGCUCCGAAAGCUCCUUCUUCCAGGAAUGCCAAAGAAAAUUAGAGCACAAGCUGGGGCUGGAUUCCUAUCUGCUCAAACCAGUGCAGCGCCUGACGAAGUACCAGUUACUCCUGAAGGAGCUGCUGAAGUACAGCACGAGCUGUGAUGGAGUUCAGGAACUUCAAGAAGCUCUGGUUGCAAUGUUGGAUUUGCUGAAGUCAGUCAACGACUCCAUGCAUCAGAUUUCAAUCACAGGAUAUGAUGGUGACCUGAGCGAGCUGGGGAAGGUGUUGAUGCAGGGAUCUUUCAGUGUUUGGGCAGGACACCGAAAAGGGCCAACAAAAAUGAAGGACCUGGCCAGGUUCAAGCCCAUGCAGAGGCACCUGUUUCUCUAUGAGAAAGCCUUGGUCUUCUGCAAGAAGCGAGAGGAGCACGGCGAUGGAUACGACAAAACCUCAUCGUACAGCUUUAAGCACUUCCUGAAAAUGAAUGCAGUUGGGAUAACUGAGAAUGUGAAGGGAGAUCAUCGGAAAUUUGAGAUCUGGUACAGUGGGAGAGAAGAGGUGUAUGUGGUGCAGGCCCAAACAGUAGAUCUGAAGAUGGCAUGGUUGAAUGAAAUAAGAAAAAUUUUGUUUAAGCAGCAAGAGCUUAUAAAAGCAGGGGAGAAGCAGCAGCCUGGCUCGUGCUCGGAGCAGCUCCCGCUCUCCUCCCAGCUGGGGGACAGGAAGCAGCAGAGAGCCUCCAUCAGCUCGGAAGAGAACGACUCGGAGCGCACCAGCCCGGUGAUGCUGGACAGCGGGCCGCUGUCCCCCCAGAAACAGCCCCACAGAAGCUGGCCAGGAACGUCGCAGUCCCUGGAGAUCUGCGAGGGGCUGGAGGAGUGGUCGGGGCAGCAGUACCUCUCCAACUGCUCGGACACGGAGGAGGAGGAGAACCAGCUGUCUCCAGGAAAAUACAAAGCCCUUGCAGACUGCAAGAGGAGAGGAUCAGAGGACCUGCUGGUGAAAAAUGGGGAUGAAAUUCAGCUCUUGCAUGAAGAUGGUGAGGGACAGUGGUUGGUGAAAAACCUAAACAGAAGAAAAGAAGGCUGGAUUCCUGUCCACAGUCUGCAGAUUGUAGUCGGUGACUGCAGAUUUCGGAAUGCCAAAGUCGCAGUGUCACUGCUCCAUGUGUUGCCUCAUCACCAUGCUGUCCUCUGCAAAUGGGAGACCAGGGCUGGAGAUGGAACAGCUCAGGAAGCCCACAUUGACUUAGUCCAUUAAAAAAAAAAAAAUUAAAAAUUACUAGCUAUGACUGUAUGAAGCAAAUCUUGCAAGGAGAUUUCUCUUUAAAUACUUCUUUCUGUCAGAAUCUAUUUUUUUUAUUAAUGUGAAGGAAGCCAUCCGAAAGGCUUAAAGUUCCAGUCAGCUCUUGGUGGUUUUUGGUAUAUUUCAGUGAAGUCCUUCCUAUACAGGAAGGUAUUUUUUUAUCCCCUUUGUUGCAGGGCAGUCAAAUCUCCCAGGCUGAAGUUUGCUGAUUUUCUGUAAGGGGUAGUUUGCUGACCAGUGUUCAGAGUGUACUGGCACCCUGUUUUCAAGAUGCAGUUAUGGCUCCCCUGACCUUCUCUCCAUGUACAGCUACCCCAUCUCACCAGGUCCUCUGCAGAAGGGUUUUCCAGCUGUGAAUGCAUCUCAAAAAAAGGUGCUGGGAAACUCUGAACCCUGGUUUGCAUUGUCAGUGGUCAUAUCCCCAGAAACCUAGAGACUGUCAGCUCUGGACUGGCUUACAAAGCUGCUGAGUACAAACUGAGGGCAAUUCCCCGGGGUGAAGCCACAGAAAAUGCCUCCUGUGAGUCCCACACCACUGCCCAGCUACUCCAGAGCCGUGUCCCAGGCUCUGAGAGCACUGGGGCUCUGCUUUCCCUGCGAAGGUAGCUGUUCUCUCUGCUGCUUCUGAUGCUGCCUGCAGUCCCAAGGCAUGGUUCUGAUCUUACACACGCUCCAGGAAACACUGGGGGAUCAUGUAGGAUGUUCUCUUGCUGUUUCCUAGAGCUAUUCCUAGAGCUUUUCAGCAGCGCGUCCCUAGAGCCAUAAGCAACUUGCAGUCUGAAAAUCGAUCUUCACACAGAACUCGUGCACUCAGCAAUUGCCUUUCCCCUGGGGCUGGUCACUUCACCCCGCAGGUGACCGCCGACUCCUUGGCAGUGGCCGGGACUGGGCUCUCUCCUGCUUCCUCAGAAGAUGGAGCUCUUGCUCCAGCACAGCAGAGGAGAACGAGGCAGCCGAGCAGGGCCAGGAGGGAGCCUCGGAUCCCUCAGGACUGUGAGCUGCUCGUGCUGAAGUGCUGGUUUGCAUGUCGGCAGUGUAGGCUUGACUGACACGCUGUGGGAUCCCCGAGAGCUUUGGAGAGUGUUGGAGUCGCUUCAGUGCUGGGGAGAGGCAGUUCUGGCACUCUGUGGGGGCAGUGCCUGUCUUACUGCUCAGCUCCAGGUUCCCCUAAUUAAAACUCUGUGUCCAGUCACACAGUUUCAUAGCAGAAUUCGUACAAAUCUGGGCUUUGGGAUUUUUUUCAGGGCAAAGCCUUUAGCUGAAUAGAAUAAAUCCCUUACUUUCACGUUUCUCCUUAGAGUUAUCCUGUGGCCCACCACAGGAUGGCUGCUACCUGCAUGCCUACAAGCUGUUCCUCCCCCCUCCUGCUAAUUAUUCCAGUGUUGAGCCAAUACAGAUCAUAAUGAACUUACAGGGAACUUUUUGCUGUCCCUUUUAAGUUAGCAGAGGGGUAUUUGGUAAAUGCUUCACUUCCCAGCCAUUCCAGCUUUGCAAAUCCACGGUCCUCUUGUAAAUCUUGGCCUGGAUAUAAGCCAUGAGGUUCUCUGGGAGGAAGGUGGCUGGCUUGGAGAUCAUUUUGAAAAUGAAUUUUCCUUCUGGUGUGCCUCUAGCUGUAAGUCCUGAGAUUAGUCCUUGCUGCUUUCUUCCAGACAGAUUUAUUCUCUCUGCUGUGCAGACCCAGGGUGGAUUUUUUUUUUUUUAAUGUGCACGAUGAAGGAGCAGUUUUGUAUUGCAGGUGGUAACAUGCAGAGCUCAAAAUGAAAAAUAUCUGGAGAGAACUGUGCUCAGAAAGGGCAAUACUCAGAAUGGAACUACUGCUGAGGCUCACCCAUGUGUUGGUAGUUUCUGCUGCCUCGCAAGUGGUCAGGCAUUGCCUGAUUAACUGACUUGGCUUUUCCAUGAAUUAACACGGAGAUGCAAGAUUCCCUCUUCAUUUCAGGGAAGGCUGGGGCUCCAGCAUUACAAUCCCAACUCCUCUUCUGCACUGGAGCAGGAGGCAAACCAUUUCUGCAUGUCCCUUGGUGGCCAGUGCGCCAGGGAUCACACUGUGCAGCACUGGCAGGUCUGUGCCAGGCAAGAGAAGGGAUCUCACCUCUCAGGUGCACUGCAGCACCCACGGCAGGGCUUGGAACCAGAUUCCUUUUGGAGUCUCUUCCUACCCAAGCCAUUCUGGUGAUCUAAGGUGGGCACAGGCUCCUGUUCCACAUGCCAGACCCUCUCCUCGUUUAUUUAACAUCCUGCUUGCCAAAUCCUCUCUUCCAAGCCUUAGGGGGAUCCCCUGUGCCCACUCUCCAUGCCAUGAAGCUGAGCAGAGGUUUCCACCCCUGGCAGUGCCUGAAGGACUGAGCUUGCAUGUCCUGUGUCCCCUGGACAGGGCACUGGCAUUGUCCUGUGCCCCCUGGACAGUCACUGGCAUUGUCCUGUGCCCCCUGGACAGUCACUGGCAUUGUCCUGUGCCCCCUGGACAGUCACUGGCAUUGUCCUGUGUCCCUUGGACAGUCACUGGCAUUGUCCUGUGCCCCUUGGACAGGGAACUGGGAUUGUCCUGUGUCCCUGGACAGUCACUGGCAUUGUCCUGUGCCCCUUGGACAGGGAACUGGGAUUGUCCUGUGUCCCUGGACAGUCACUGGCAUUGUCCUGUGUCCCUUGGACAGUCACUGGGAUUGUCCUGUGCCCCUGGACAGUCACUGGCAUUGUCCUGUGCCCCUUGGACAGGGAACUGGGAUUGUCCUGUGUCCCCUGGACAGUCACUGGCAUUGUCCUGUGCCCCCUGGACAGUCACUGGGAUUGUCCUGUGCCCCUUGGACAGUCACUGGGAUUGUCCUGUGCCCCUUGGACAGUCACUGGGAUUGUCCUGUGUCCCUGGACAGUCACUGGCAUUGUCCUGUGCCCCCUGGACAGUCACUGGGAUUGUCCUGUGCCCCCUGGACAGUCACUGGGAUUGUCCUGUGCCCCUUGGACAGUCACUGGGAUUGUCCUGUGCCCCCUGGAGCAUCCCUGGGGCUGCCUGGCCAGGGUGUUUGUGUGGCUGGAGCUUUGGCAGGCUGCUGGAGGCACGCUGGCUGAAAGGUGCAGGCUUUGCCCACGCCCUGGUCCCGCAGGUGCCCCGCAGGUGCCCCGCUGGCACUGCA